GUGUCAGCAGCCGCGGUAAUACGGAGGGUGCGAGCGUUAUCCGGAUUUACUGGGUUUAAAGGGUGUGUAGGCGGGCUAUUAAGUCAGCGGUGAAAUCUUCGGGCUCAACCCGGAAACUGCCAUUGAUACUAUUAGUCUUGAAUACUGUGGAGGUAUGCGGAAUGUGUCAUGUAGCGGUGAAAUGCUUAGAGAUGACACAGAACACCGAUUGCGAAGGCAGCGUACUACACAGUGAUUGACGCUGAGGCACGAAAGCGUGGGGAUCAAACAGGAUUAGAUACCCCAGUAGUCC
rnacentral:rRNA from 1 species